rnacentral:rRNA from 1 species
AGAGUUUGAUCCUGGCUCAGAACGAACGCUGGCGGCGUGCUUAACACAUGCAAGUCGAGUGCGCGUCUGUAGCAAUACAGAUGGCGCACGGCGCACGGGUGCGUAACACGUGGGCAAUCUGCCCUUCGAUGGGGAAUAUCUUCGGGAAACCGAAGCGAAUUCCGCAUAACAUUCCUUGGACUGCGGUUCGAGGACUCAAAGCCGUAAGGCGUCGAAGGAGGAGCCCGCGCACGAUUAGCUAGUUGGUAGGGUAACGGCCUACCAAGGCUUUGAUCGUUAGCUGGUCUGAGAGGAUGGCCAGCCACACUGGAACUGAGACACGGUCCAGACUCCUACGGGAGGCAGCAGUGGGGAAUCUUGCACAAUGGGCGAAAGCCUGAUGCAGCGACGCCGCGUGGGGGAUGAAGCAUCUCGGUGUGUAAACCCCUUUCGACCCGGAAGAAUGCCUCGCAAGAGGACUGACGGUACGGGUAUAAGAAGCCCCGGCUAACUACGUGCCAGCAGCCGCGGUAAGACGUAGGGGGCCAGCGUUGUUCGGAAUUACUGGGUGUAAAGGGUUCGUAGGCGGUGUGGCAAGUUGGGAGUGAAAUCUCUGGGCUCAACCCAGAGGCUGCUUCCAAAACUGCUGUGCUUGAGUGUGGGAGAGGCGCGUGGAAUUGCAGGUGUAGCGGUGAAAUGCGUAGAUAUCUGCAGGAACACCCGUGGCGAAAGCGGCGCGCUGGACCACUACUGACGCUGAGGAACGAAAGCUAGGGGAGCAAACAGGAUUAGAUACCCUAGUAGUCC